UGUAGGUGAACCUGCGGAAGGAUCAUUACCGAGUGAGGGCCCUCUGGGUCCAACCUCCCACCCGUGUUUAUUAUACCUUGUUGCUUCGGCGGGCCCGCCGUAUGGCCGCCGGGGGGCUUCUGCCCCCGGGCCCGCGCCCGCCGAAGACAUCUCGAACUCUGUCUGAAGAUUGUAGUCUGAGUAAAAAUAUAAAUUAUUUAAAACUUUCAACAACGGAUCUCUUGGUUCCGGCAUCGAUGAAGAACGCAGCGAAAUGCGAUACGUAAUGUGAAUUGCAAAAUUCAGUGAAUCAUCGAGUCUUUGAACGCACAUUGCGCCCUCUGGUAUUCCGGAGGGCAUGCCUGUCCGAGCGUCAUUGCUGCCCUCAAGCACGGCUUGUGUGUUGGGCUCCGUCCUCCGAUCCCGGGGGACGGGCCCGAAAGGCAGCGGCGGCACCGCGUCCGGUCCUCGAGCGUAUGGGGCUUUGUCACCCGCUCUGUAGGCCCGGCCGGCGCUUGCCGAUCAACCAAAUUUUUAUCCAGGUUGACCUCGGAUCAGGUAGGGAUACCCGCAGAACUUAAGCAUAUCAAUAAGCGGA
rnacentral:rRNA from 1 species